rnacentral:rRNA from 1 species
UUUUAUUUGAGAGUUUGAUCCUGGCUCAGGAUGAACGCUGGCGGCGUGCCUAACACAUGCAAGCUGAGCGAUUUACUUCGGUAAAGAGCGGCGGACGGGUGAGUAACGCGUGGGUAACCUACCCUGUACACACGGAUAACAUACCGCAAGGUAUGCUAAUACGGGAUAAUAUAUUUGAGAGGCAUCUCUUGAAUAUCAAAGGUGAGCCAGUACAGGAUGGACCCGCGUCGGAUUAGCUAGUUGGUAAGGUAACGGCUUACCAAGGCGACGAUCAGUAGCCGACCUGAGAGGGUGAUCGGCCACAUUGGAACUGAGACACGGUCCAAACUCCUACGGGAGGCAGCAGUGGGGAAUAUUGCACAAUGGGCGAAAGCCUGAUGCAGCAACGCCGCGUGAGUGAUGAAGGCCUUCGGGUCGUAAAACUCUGUCCUCAAGGAAGAUAAUGACGGUACUUGAGGAGGAAGCCCCGGCUAACUACGUGCCAGCAGCCGCGGUAAUACGUAGGGGGCUAGCGUUAUCCGGAUUUACUGGGCGUAAAGGGUGCGUAGGCGGUCUUUCAAGUCAGGAGUGAAAGGCUACGGCUCAACCGUAGUAAGCUCUUGAAACUGGGAGACUUGAGUGCAGGAGAGGAGAGUGGAAUUCCUAGUGUAGCGGUGAAAUGCGUAGAUAUUAGGAGGAACACCAGUUGCGAAGGCGGCUCUCUGGACUGUAACUGACGCUGAGGCACGAAAGCGUGGGGAGCAAACAGGAUUAGAUACCCUG